GAUGAACGCUAGCGGCAGGCCUAAUACAUGCAAGUCGAACGGUGUCUUCGGACAUAGUGGCGCACGGGUGCGUAACACGUAUGCAACCUACCUUACAUUGGGGGAUAGCCUUUCGAAAGGGAGAUUAAUACCGCAUAAGACAGUAGUCUGGCAUCAGACAGCUGUUAAAGAUUUAUCGAUGUAAGCUGGGCAUGCGUCCAAUUAGUUAGUUGGCGAGGUAACGGUUCACCAAGACUAUGAUUGGGAGGGGAACUGAGAGGUCAAUCCCCCACACUGGCACUGAGAUACGGGCCAGACUCCUACGGGAGGCAGCAGUAGGGAAUAUUGGGCAAUGGACGCAAGUCUGACCCAGCCAUGCCGCGUGCAGGAAGAAGGCGUUAUGCGUUGUAAACUGCUUCUAUACAGGAAGAAACGACUCUUGCGAGAGGCAUUGACGGUACUGUAUGAAUAAGCACCGGCUAACUCCGUGCCAGCCGCCGCGGUAACAC
rnacentral:rRNA from 1 species